UGAGGGCAAUUCCGCCGGCUCCUUCAGAUCGCUCCGCGUUCCCUCCUAAAUCCAGGGGGAACGGCGGAAUUAAUCCGGCUGGAAAUGGCGGGGUGGAGCCUAAACCUCCUGGGGCUGAGCCUAAAUCCCCUGGGAGUGAGCCUAAACCCCCGGGGACUGAGCCAAAGCGCCCAAAUCCUGGAGUUUCCCACGGACUGGGGCGGUCAUGGCGCGGGUGGCCGGAGGUGACGUCACCUCGCCCCGCCCUUUCCGGCGUUGUCCUGAGGCGGCGCCGCCAUUACCGCGGGUGCCGCUGCCGGGGCCGGUUCUGGGCCGGGACCGGCGCUGGUCCCGCGGCUCCUUCGCCACCGGAGCGGCCCUGCCGCGUCCCCAGUGAGCAUGGAGGACCAACGGGUGCCCCCUCCCCAGCUGCUGGAGCGGCAGGUCGCUGUGGUGGCCACCCUGGGCGAGGUGGUGGCCACCGUGACCGGGUCACACAGGGACGUGCGGCGGCGCGGGUCCCCGGUGUUCCUGCACGCCGCCCUGGGGAGGUUCACCCAGAGCCUCUGUGAGACCUUGGAGCACGGCGAUGUCACCUCCCUGGGCUACUGUGGUGUCCCCUCCCUGGGCCGGGCCCUGGCUGCCCUCGAGGCCACCCCAGAGGCGUGUGACAACGCGAUCGCGGCGGUCGAGACCUGGCGGAAGAUGGUGGACGCGCUCGGGGGGAGAUGGGGGCAGCUGGCCUGGGAGGCCGCUGAGCUCUGCGCUGAGUGCAAGCACGCGGCCCCCGCCCGGGCCGGGGACCCGCGGGACGAGGCCACCCACCGGGGGACAGCUUGGGGCAAGCUGGUGGCCGUGGUCCGGUGGCCGACGGUGGACUGGGAGGAGGAGGAGGCGACCUCGGUGGGGGCCACACGUGAUGCCUGGGAGGCAGCGGCCACCGGUGAGGAGGAGUUGACCACCAACGAGGAGGAGCUGGCCACCAAAGAGGAGGAGGCAGCCAUGAGUGAGGAGGAGACGGCCACCAGUGAGGAAGAGGCGGCCACCAAUGGGGAGGACGUGGCCACCAAUGAGGAGGAGGCAGCCAUGAGUGAGGAGGAGGUGGCCACCAAUGAGGAGGACGUGGCCACCAACGAGGAGGAAGCAGCCAUGAGUGAGGAGGAGGUGGCCACCAACAAGGAGGAGGUGGCCCCCAACAAGGAGGAGGUGGCCAUGAGUGAGGAGGAGGUGGCCAUCGACAAGGAGGAAGCAGCCAUGAGUGAGGAGGAGGUGGCCCCCAACAAGGAGGACGUGGCCACCGACAAGGAGGAAGCAGCCAUGAGUGAGGAGGAGGUGGCCACCAACGAGGAAGACGUGGCCACCAACAAGGAGGAGGUGGCCACCAGCGAGGCCAUGGGAGAGGCCGUGGUGGCCGCCAGCCAGGCGAGGGUGGCCGCCAGGAGGGGACGUUUGGCAGAGGCGGCCCUGGGGCCGCUGCAGCGCUUGGUGGCCGCGUGUGACGAUGCCAUUGCCUUCACCAGGAACAUGGAGUUCUACCUCUGGGAGAUCAACGUCACCCUGAAGUUUGGAGACCGAGUGUCCCGCCGUGUCCUCGAGGCCUUGGUGGCCGAGUUUCAGCAGCUGUGGGAUGCCAGCGCCCGCCUGUUCAGGGAGUACUUGCUGGAGACACUGGAGCUCAUUGACAAGCUCCUCUUGAGUCCCCAUGGUGGCCCUGGUGGCCCCAGUGGCCCCAUCAGCCGCGCAGUGGACGAGCGGUGCCGAGACGCCAUCAGAGACAUCCCGAGGCUGCUGUGGGGACAGUGAUGUCACUGCUGGGACGUCGUCGGGGAAGUGAUGUCACUGGAGAGACUUGUGGACACUUGAGGGCCACCAGCUCAAGUGCCACCAGCUCCUCGUGUCACCAAAAUCUCCUCAAGUGCCACCAGCUCCUCAGGGCACCCAGAGGCCCUCAAGUGCCACCAGCUCCUCAAGUGCCACCAGCUCCUCAAGUGCCACCAGCUCCUCGUGUCACCAAGAGCCCCUCAAGUGCCACCAGCUCCUUGUGCCACCCAGAGCCCCCCGAGUGCCACCAGCUCCUCGUGUCACUGGGACCUCGUGCAGGGGAACCUGGGGGGGUCCCUUGGGGCUCGGUCCUGUCCCCCCCCCCGUUAUCAGCUGGGACCCCCCUGUGAGAAACCAAGGUCAGAAUUGAAAUUUUUUUAAAAGCUUGUUAAGGGAUAAAAUCCUGGUGCUAAUUGCCAAUAGCUCCCUGUUAAUUAAACCACGGUUAAUUAUUGAUAUUAUUGAUCUAAAAAGAAAAAUAUGUAUUAAUAAUAAAAUAGAAAUGUAUAUUUUUUAAAAAAUAUCUUACGUUAAUAUAUUUUAUGCAGACAGAAUUUAUGUUAUAUUUUUAUAUAUUAUAUUAAUUUAAUAUAUUAUUUUAAAAUAAUAUUUUAUAUCAAUAUUUUAUAUAUACAUAAAUAUACAUAUAUUUUUCUAUAUUCUGUAUAAAUUAUUUUAAGACAUUCUUGUGAAUUCACAUGUUUUUGUGUUUGGUUUUAACCCUUGACUUGCCUCCACGCCAUCUUGUACAUUAAACCAAUUUAUUUUAUUUCUC